GCCUUUAUAGCUCAAUUGGUAGAGUAUUUACCUUGUAAGUAAAAUUGUGUGGGUUCGAUUCCUACUAAAGGCU
rnacentral:tRNA from 1 species